GUUAGGAAUAUUCGGCAAUGGGGGAAACCCUGACCGAGCAAUGCCGCGUGUGCGAUGAAGGUCCUCUGGAUUGUAAAGCACUUUUAUUAAGGAAGAACUGUAUGUAUAGGAAAUGAUACAUACUUGACGGUACUUUUUGAAUAAGCCCCGGCUAACUACGUGCCAGCAGCCGCGGUAAUACGUAGGGGGCGAGCGUUAUCCGGAUUUAUUGGGCGUAAAGCGUGUGUAGGCGGUUUAUUAAGUCUAAGAUGAAAGCCCGAGGCUUAACCUCGGUUUGUUUUAGAUACUGGUAGGCUAGAAUGCGGUAGAGGCAAAUGGAAUUCCUAGUGUAGCGGUGAAAUGCGUAGAUAUUAGGAGGAACACCAGUGGCGAAGGCGAUUUGCUGGGCCGCUAUUGACGCUGAGACACGAAAGCGUGGGGAGCAAAUAGGAUUAGAAACCCUAGUAGUCC
rnacentral:rRNA from 1 species